GGCUCAUUAAAUCAGUUAUCGUUUAUUUGAUAGUACCUUACUACUUGGAUAACCGUGGUAAUUCUAGAGCUAAUACAUGCUAAAAACCUCGACUUCGGAAGGGGUGUAUUUAUUAGAUAAAAAACCAAUGCCCUUCGGGGCUCCUUGGUGAUUCAUAAUAACUUAACGAAUCGCAUGGCCUUGUGCCGGCGAUGGUUCAUUCAAAUUUCUGCCCUAUCAACUUUCGAUGGUAGGAUAGUGGCCUACCAUGGUUUCAACGGGUAACGGGGAAUUAGGGUUCUAUUCCGGAGAGGGAGCCUGAGAAACGGCUACCACAUCCAAGGAAGGCAGCAGGCGCGCAAAUUACCCAAUCCCGACACGGGGAGGUAGUGACAAUAAAUACUGAUACAGGGCUCUUUUGGGUCUUGUAAUUGGAAUGAGUACAAUUUAAAUCCCUUAACGAGGAACAAUUGGAGGGCAAGUCUGGUGCCAGCAGCCGCGGUAAUUCCAGCUCCAAUAGCGUAUAUUAAAGUUGUUGCAGUUAAAAAGCUCGUAGUUGAACCUUGGGCCUGGCUGGCCGGUCCGCCUCACCGCGUGCACUGGUCCGGCCGGGUCUUUCCUUCUGGGGAGCCGCAUGCCCUUCACUGGGUGUGUCGGGGAACCAGGACUUUUACUUUGAAAAAAUUAGAGUGUUCAAAGCAGGCCUAUGCUCGAAUACAUUAGCAUGGAAUAAUAGAAUAGGACGUGUGGUUCUAUUUUGUUGGUUUCUAGGACCGCCGUAAUGAUUAAUAGGGAUAGUCGGGGGCAUCAGUAUUCAAUUGUCAGAGGUGAAAUUCUUGGAUUUAUUGAAGACUAACUACUGCGAAAGCAUUUGCCAAGGAUGUUUUCAUUAAUCAGUGAACGAAAGUUAGGGGAUCGAAGACGAUCAGAUACCGUCGUAGUCUUAACCAUAAACUAUGCCGACUAGGGAUCGGGCGAUGUUAUCUUUUUGACUC
rnacentral:rRNA from 1 species